UACCAGCACCCCGAGUGUUCGGGACGAUUAUUGGGCCUAAAGCAUCCGUAGCCGGUUCUUUAAGUCCUCCGUUAAAUCCACCUGCUUAACAGAUGGGCUGCGGAGGAUACUAUAGAGCUAGGAGGCGGGAGAGGCAAGCGGUACUCAGUGGGUAGGGGUAAAAUCCGUUGAUCCAUUGAAGACCACCAGUGGCGAAGGCGGCUUGCCAGAACGCGCUCGACGGUGAGGGAUGAAAGCUGGGGGAGCAAACCGG
rnacentral:rRNA from 1 species